rnacentral:rRNA from 1 species
AGCGGCGGACGGGUGAGUAACGCGUGGGUAACCUGCCUCAUACAGGGGGAUAACAGUUAGAAAUAACUGCUAAUACCGCAUAAGACCACAGCACCGCAUGGUGCGGGGGUAAAAACUCCGGUGGUAUGAGAUGGACCCGCGUCUGAUUAGCUAGUUGGUGGGGUAACGGCUCACCAAGGCGACGAUCAGUAGCCGACCUGAGAGGGUGACCGGCCACAUUGGGACUGAGACACGGCCCAA